rnacentral:rRNA from 1 species
AUUGAACGCUGGCGGCAGGCCUAACACAUGCAAGUCGAACGAGUGGCGGACGGGUGAGUAAUUUAUUGGAAACUGCCCGAUGGAGGGGGAUAACUACUGGACACGGUAGCUAAUACCGCAUACCAUCGGAUGUGCCCAGAUGGGAUUAGCUCGUAGGUGGGUUAACGGCUCACCUAGGCGACGAUCCCUAGCUGGUCUGAUAGGAUGACCAGCAACACUGGAACGGGGACACGGUCAAGACUCCUACGGGAGGCAGCAGUGGGGAAUAUUGCACAAUGGGCGCAAGUCUGAUGCAGCCAUGCCGCGUGUAUGAAGAAGGCCUUCGGGUUGUAAAGUACUUUCAUCGAGGAGGCGUUACUCGCAGAAGAAGCACCGGCUAACUCCGUGCCAGCCGCCGCGGUAAUAC